GCUGUGGUACUGACAGUUGAUAGGCUGUGGUACUGACAGUUGACAGGCUGUGGUACUGACAGUUGACAGGCUGUGGUACUGACAGUUGACAGGCUGUAGUAUUGACAGUUGACAGGCUGUGGUACUGACAGUUGACAGGCUGUGGCACUGACAGUUGACAGGCUGUGGCACUGACAGUUGACAGACUGUGGUACUGAUAAUUGACAGGCUGUGGUACUGACAGUUGACAGACUGUGGUACUGACAGGUGCUUUUAAAAAAUAAAAACAUGGACUUGUCAUGGUAUGUACAAUUGGCACUGCAGGUGAUAAAAACUCAGAUUCUGAGGCAGAAUUCAGGAACCCAGCUCUGGUGGAUGAGUCAGUGUGAGGCCGCCUGCUGCCACGCGAUGUGGAGAUCAAACCCUGCAGCCCACUCAUCUCUGACUUUGCAGAUGCCUUGCUCGUGCUCCAGAUACACGAAAGGAAAUUUCAUCUUUCUUACCAGGAGCUUGCUGACAUCCUAAACUUAAAGUAUUUCCCCCAGUUUUUAUUACAGGAAAUCAUGCGCACAGGGGUAGAGAUUGUAAUGUGUGACAGUAAACUGUCUCCCUGGUUUUUGUUUACCUGUCAAAUCAUAUAGAAAUUAGAAAGUCAUGUUCUGUGACGUGCAUUGCGAAGGCCACAUGAAUUCAGAUCAGGCAAGGGAGAAGGUCUUCCUUGUAGAUACGGAUCAGCUCCAACAUCCCAGACUUUACCUCUGUUCCUAGCCAGUUCACUGUUGUUACUGGGGGUGUUUUUUAUGGCAUUUGGUGCAAUUGUGCUGAAACCUAUAAGGUGUCAGUAACUCAGUGGAUUGGUGUUUUCCAGCUCAUGCAAGCUCACACAGGGAGCAAAGAGUGACGGGUGGAUCAAGAGAGAGGAAUGGAUCUGAAAGUAAAGGAUGAGACAUCCAUUGUGACCUAACUUGAAGACACCACAGUGUGUCAGGCUUGAGUAUGGAUAGCACAACUCUGAGUUCAGUAAAUAUCUCUAACUUAUAACCCCAUAUAAAAGCUCCUUGGAAGGAGGGACUGUCAAAAAUUUUGAAUCUCACAAAGAUUCCCCAAGGCAAAGCAUUUUAAAGCCUGCUGCAAUGAAUGGGUCUAAGAAGCCAUGGAUUUUGGUUUUCAGAAUUUCGGCCAAUAUUUUUCUGAUAAACUAGUUCAAUGGUACUUGCUACUCUGUAUUAAAAGAUAAACUAGUUUGAUUUUUUUCUGUCUUAACUUUUUCAGUCUCCCCAUUUAAUUUCCACUCGAAAGUUCCAAGAUAAAAAUGUAACAACUGCAAAAAUACAGCAGUCUCUCAGGGUCUGAUCUGGAGAAAACGACCAUUUGUGAAAUCUAGAUUCUGUAAUCUAACAAUGUCUGUUUUGUGAGGGAGGUAAGUUGAGAAGUUUUUGCUUCUUCUGCAGAGGCCGAUGGGGAAAUGAUUAAGAACAUUUCAUGUCUUAGGCUGAUUAAGAUGAAUCCUUCUUCUGCAUGCUAGGAGGGAGAACAGGUUACCUUCCAAGGGAACUGUAUUCCCCUUCUUGUUUGACAACUUCAGUUAACUGGACAUUUUCUUUGUUUCCAAGUAUCACACAGUUUAAUGACAACACAAUAGAAGACACUUGAUUUUUCCUUUGUGACACAAAUUGGUUGCCUAUGUAGUUUACCAUCUGCAUGCCAUGUUAUGUACAUGGAAAGAAGGAUCUAUUUACUACUGUGCCGUGAUACAAAAGAAAACCAAGACUCUCCUGGCUUGGCCACACCUCACAUGACCUUAUGUAACAAGUACAAUAUUGAAAAAAUUGAACUUUUGAUAUGUUAAAUAUUAUAUUAAUUAAUAGCCAUUCCCUUUUAAAACUCCAUUUUCAUAUGCUUUUUUUAUGAAACACGCUUCCCAAGAAGAAGAAAUUUGAAAUUUCAUUUUUACAUGCCCCUUAUGUAGAUGAAGAGCAUCCUAACAUCGGAAUUCUUGGGUCAUUUUUAUAUUUGUCUGAGUCAGACAAAGCUUUAGGAUAUGUAACUGAGAAGAUUAAUCCUGGGAUGGUUCACAAUAUUUUAACUGGCAUAUCAGAUGUUAAUCUGGGUGCUGGCGCAAAGUGACAGCUGUGGUCUAGGCUAGUCUGAAAACUCUGUCCAUCUGCCAGUGUUCAAUCACACCCUCUGGUUUAUUAGACACCUUGGGGGGUGUAUUAGAGAGAUAGCGCUAAGUGGGGAUUCUCUUCUGACAAAAUAAGCCAUAUGACUAGAAAGGAGCAGUAAUAGAUUACCUCGUGAGUCAUUCGUGGAGCCUUCAAUUUUAAGUGUAUUUUCAAAUACUUAAAUAUUGAACUCCCAGUAAAAAGAAAAAAACAAACAAUAUGAAUGGAAUUCUGGUACAGGGCAGUCGGUUUUCUUUGUGUAGCCACUGGUAGGGUGCUCAUUCUCCAUUGGAUGGCAGUGUGUCCAAGAGUUUAUGGGCAGUACACAUUGUACUUGUGGUCUUAAAAACAAGGAAACCAAGAGGCACAAGUUGUGUGGGUUGGGAAGGGGGCGGGAGUAGGUUGGUGAAUGUGACCAAAAUACGUUUAUGAAAUUCGCUAACUAAAAAUAAAAACAACAGUGCAGGGAAUUACAUAACUGUCUGGAAAUAAAGCUAAAACACAGCGUUCCUCAGACUCUGCAAAACUGUUUAACCAUUAGCUCACAUCGAUUGUAGUAACGUGCACCAAACCCACCCAACGUGGGCCAUGUCAACCGUCAGUUGAGGAAGGGGGAGGGGCUCCCAGGGCCCUGCUUACCACCUCUGCACUCUUGGCUUUUCAUCUCUUCUGAGAGGGGAAUCACCAUCUGUGGUUGUACACGCUACCGGUGUAUGCUGAGCCCAGUGGACGGCUAAACCUACAGGCACAUGCAUGACUUGGCUUACCUUGGGUCAUACAAUAAAACAGAUAUACCUGCUUACUUAACCCUCUGACUCUUUGUUCUUCUCUGUUCUUGACCCCUCCCCCCCUCCCACACCCGUGCCCAUCGCCGGCCGCCUUUCCUCUCUUCUACUCUUCUCUCAUUAAACCUCUCCACGUGGAAAAAAAAAAAAAAAAAAAAAAAACAGAUAUACCUAAGUGCUCGAGAGAGAUUUACGGGGAGGUGGGAGGGGAAGGUGGUCUGUGUGCGAGGAAUGCAUAUGUGAAAUUAAAAAAAACAUAAAAUAAAUUUAAAAGAUAGGAAAUUAAUAUGAGGAUCCUGUUGCCAGGAUUAUUAGUGCUAGCUGAUCCAUCACACUACUAUGGUGUCUAUGAUUAAAGUUCCACUAUCCUAACUAGUAUUUAAUAUUUCCUAAAUGCUUGGCAUAUAGUUUCUGACACGUGGUGUAUGUAUAUGUGUAUGUAUAUUGGAAUACUUACUGCGAACGUAUUCUUACUUUUCUAAUAGUAGGGCACUUGUUUUUUUAUAUGUAUUAUUAAAUUAUCAUUAAAGACUUGCAUUAUUCCUGGUCCACGGACAGCAGUGCACUUCCAAAGCAAGAGUGAACAUGUGGGUUUCUGUGUAACAUUUGAUGUGGCAUAGAUGUAUUAGUUACUGUUUCAUUGCUGUAAUUAAACACCUAACAAGAAGCAGCUUGGAGAAGGAUUUAGUCUGGAUCACAGUUUGAAGAUGUAAAUCUUUGUGGCUGGGAAUGAAUGGUGUCAGGCAUGGCAGAAAUGGCAAUGGUUGCUCACAUCCUGGUAGCCAAGAAACAGAAUGUCUGUACUAUCUGGCUUUUGCCUUUCCUUCUAAAAUUCCAAACUAUUAUUAUUAUUGUCGUCGUCGUUGUUGUUAUUAUUGGUUUUUUAAGACAGGGUUUUUCUGUGUAGUCCUGGCUGUUCUGGAACUCACUCUGUAGACCAGGCUAGCCCAGGACUCAUAGAGAUCCAUUUGUUUCUGUGUCCCAAGUACUGUAUUAGUAUUAAAGGCAUGUACCACCACUACACGGAAGAAUAUUAAUUUUAUCGUGUAUGCUUAGCUAUACACAUGCACACCCAUGGAGGCCAAAGGCUAAUCAGGUGGCUUCCUUAUCUUCCAUUAAACUCCGAGCUUGCAGAUACAGCUAGCUCAGCUGCCCAAGAGACCCCACGAAUCCUCCUGUUUCUGCCUUCCCAGGCUGGGCUCACAGUUGAGCACUACCACAUCCAGCUUUUAUGUCGGUGUUGGGGAUUGAACUCAGGCCUUUAUGUUUGUGCUUCGAGCACUUCACAAGAGUACCGUCUCCCCAGGGCUCUUUCUUCCCCUUUGAUUCCAUCGAGGCUCCUAGCCUCUGGGGUGGUGUUCUUUCUUUCUUUUCUUUCUUUUUUUUUUUAAAGAUUUAUUUAUUUAAUGUAUAUAUGAGUACACUGUAGCUGUCUUCAGACACACAGAAGAGGGCAUCGGAUCCCACUACAGAUGGUUGUGAGCCACCGUGUGGUUGCUGGGAUUUGAACUCAGGACCUCUGGAAGAGCAGUCGGUGCUCUUAACCUCUGAGCCAUCUCUCCAGCCCGGUGGUGUUCUUUCAGGAUGGGUCUUUCUUCCUCUGUUAAUCCCCUCUGGACACACCUGUCAGAGAUACCCAAAGUACAUCUCUCUCUAAAUAUUCUAAAUCAGUGGUUCUCAAUCUAUGGGUUGUGACACUUUUGGGUCAAUUUGUUCCAAUAAAACUAUAUUGUACAUAUUAGAUAUUUGCAUUAUGAUUCAUAGCAGUAGCAGAAUUGUGGUUAUGGAAAUGAUUUGAUGGUUGGGGGUCACCAUAACAUAAGGAACUGUGUUAAAGAGUCGCAGCAUUAGGAAGGCAGUAUUAUAAAUCCAGUCAACAAAGACAAGCAACUAUCAUGAUGUGUGUGAGUACAUAGCGUACACACACACACACACACACACACACACACACACACACACACACACGGAUGAAGAUGGUUUAGUUGUGUUAGCUAUGAUCAACUUGACAAAUGUGCAUAUUAUUCAAAAUAAUCUGGCGAUGAGAUCACAGGAGACAUAGUCGUGACACGAAGUCAGUCGUCCAUCUUAGUGAGGGGUGGAAGAACCGGGGCUAAUACAGAAGAACAUAGGAGAGGGAGGGAGGGAGGGAGAGAGAGAGAUCGAGAUCGAGAGAGCAGAGCGAGAAGCGAGGUAGAAUCAGGCCUUUUUCUAGUUGCAGUGCUGCUUCCCAGGUGCACGGCGCUUAAUGACUCCCAACCAUCUAUAAAAUGAGGACAGUAGUUGUGACCCCCAGAGUCUCUUGUGAGCGCCGAAUGAGGUCAUCCGGACACUGUUAGCAUCAGGCCUGACCACACUGUGCUCAUUAUAAUUGCUGCCUUGUGACAGAUUGUGUGGCUAUCCUGAGCCCAGGAGAGGACUUAAGGAAAGGUUAGUGAAAGAAAAAGAAAAUGCUGGGUGUUUUGUUUGUUUGUCUGUAGUCUAUAUUGGGAAUACAGACAGCAAGAAUUCUGAUUCUUAGGAGGAGGGUCAGUGCUGAGGGAUUGGUAAAAUGUCUUUGCUGGCCAUCUUUCUCCCAAUGGAAAGUAACCUGAGAUCAGGUGUUUAACCUAAUGUCUGAAUAAUCCUCUGAAGUUCCUUCCGGGGUUAGGGUCCAUACUUUAUUUUAUGCAAAAUAGCAGCUUUUGUUAUUGCUAGAUUGUCAUUACUGCAUGUCUGACUAAAUGCUACGGAAGGAAAAUUCUCAUCUUGCAGCUCCAUGUGAAAACCCAGUUUCCAUUCUGUUUUCUUGUAUCAUUAUUCUUUUUUUUUUUUUUUUGGUUCUUUUUUUCGGAGCUGGGGACCGAACCCAGGGCCUUGCGCUUCCUAGGCAAGCGCUCUACCACUGAGCUAAAUCCCCAGCCCCAUUAUUCUUAAUCCAGGAACGGCAUGAGGCCAUUCAGUAGAGAGUGAAGGGCUUUAGUCUUCAAGCCUUCAGAAUGAGUUCAGGGUUGAUUCAUUCUGCCUGCAUUAGCGAUUCAGGCACAGCUCCCUCUAGGCAGCAGAAACGUUGUUAACUAUCGUGCAUAUAAAGGCUUCUCCUUUACUUUAGGAGGUCUUCAGUCUAGUUUGGAUUGCUACAAUGUAUCAUUCAGCCUAUUAAGCAGAUAAUUUUGAACCCAUCACGUGCCGGACAUUAUGUAUUGACCAUCAAAGAUGAGCAAGCAGGAACCUCGCUCUCAGGUUGCCUUUCUAGUGGGAAGUCAGGCAAACAGGCAAUUAAAAUUUAAGGUGGCAAUGACUGUAAUGAACUCAAUGGCAGCCAAGCAAGGAUAAGGAUUCUUGGGCCUUGUCUAAGGAUAUAAACACUAGCCUACCGUGUACUUCAUGCUUUUCCUUUGUUUUCAAAGAAGCUUUUUAACAUCCAAACACUUAGCUUACCCUUGAAUAACUGACUCGUGUCAGUUGUUGCGAUUGUGUGACUAAUACCCACAAAGGACAGACUACAGAAAGCACGGCUGGCGUGGCUGUGUAGAUAAUGAUGGAUCAUGGUCUCAGUUCAGUCACUGCUGGGCAGGAGUCGCCCCCUGGCAAUGCUAGUUUUCUUGCUCUUCUGGGUCUAUGGCUGAAAAUAGAGGGCCCGCCCUCUUUUGGACCUCGAAUUCUCAUCUAUUCUGAUUGGAUGAGCUUCUCAGUUUCAAAGUUAACUUCAUCCCUAGAGCCGCCGCCCCCCCGUCCCCCGCCCCGUGCCCUUGUAUUAGCACAUGGGAUGUGUUCAGUGUGGUGACCAGCUGUCUGGCAGGCUGGAGAGGCUGAGUGUCAGACCCCUUGUCACCGUCAGCCUUCUUCAGCCUCCUUAGUCCGCUGCCCCACGCUAUGUCCUCUGAGCAGGGAGGUGAGCUUUUCCAUGUCAUUUAUUUCUCAACACAGGAAAAGACUUUGGCUCCACGUGUUGUUUAAAACUGGGCAGCACUUGCAUAAAAGAACAGGCUGAUAGUAACCAUGGAGGAGGCAUUUGAGAACUGGCACCAAUUGGAACUUCAUUAGCCGUGGACUGAUUGGUAAAGAACGAGCAGGCUGGGGAGGCUCACGUCUAUAGUCCCAUCACUUGGGAGGCUGAGGUAGGAGGAUUGCUGUGCAUUGUGGCUACCCUGCACUGCAGAGUGAGAUUUCAUUUCAAAACCACAAAACCUAACCGAAUAGAAACUUAUUUUAUAUUCUUAGUUCUCUACCUACGUAUCUCCCCCCCCCCAUCCCCUAACUCGCAUAUGCUUUGGAUGGUUUAUUUUUCUUCCGUAUGCUUUAUAGGAAGAAAAAAAAUCUCUUUCCAAUUACAUGCUAAAAUUACACAGUGAAUGGUAAUUUACAACCACACAUUUCUAUAACUUCUAACUUACAAGGAAAAAAAAAGGACUGCGAAGAGAGGCAGGAAGUCUGCUGGGAUCUGACACAGGAGGAGUGACAAGCCAAUGAGGAGUCGCACACUUCAGAGCCAGACCUAACAGACAGACUGACAGAAACUCCUGCAGGGCGUGUAGCCUGUCCUUCCCAGUAUAGACAGACAGACGGAGGACAGCUUUUCCAUACCACUGUCCCAGGAUGUAGCUUCAGAACCUUUGUGUUAGUAACACAAUGACCACAAAGUUGCAGGAAGUGUCCUUCGGGCCCGGGCCGCAGACAGUGCUUAGUGUGCAUUUGUCUUUCUCCAUGAACAUGGAGACAUCAGGCUUUGGAUGCAGCUCAGUCGGAAGAGCGCUUUCCCAGAAAGCCCCCAUGCUUCAUUCCCAGCACCAUUUAAACCAGGAGUGGAGACACAUGCAUGGACCAGCACGUGGGAGGUGGAGGCAGGAGAUUCCAAAGCUCAGAAUCAUGGUUGGCUCUGUAGUUCGUUGAGGCCAGCCUUGUCUAGUGACCCUGUCUCUACACAAACAAACCUAAAGACAAAAAAUACAAAAUCGGUUAUGAUUGCCCUAUCUCCUUCAGGUGCAGUAAUCUGUCCUUUUGAGAUCUUAGUGUUUGUGAUCUUUGUUUCAAUACAUUGUUAAACAUUUAUGCGUAUAUGUACAUAUUCAUAAAUAUCAUGUGUGCAUAUGUGUGCAGCUGCAUAGGCGUGUGUGUGUGUGUGUGUGUGUGUGUGUGAAGAUAGUGUGUAAUCCCCCAUUUUUUGAGACCAGGUCUCUCACUGAAUCUAGCGCUUACCAAUUUGGCCAGACUGACUGUCAGUGAGCCCAAAGGACAUCCUUUUCUCUCUUGUGGCACAUGCCACCUCGCCCAGCUUUUACAUAACACUGGGGAUUUGAACUCAGAUCCUCGUGCUUGCAUUGCAGACACUUUGCUGACUGAGUCCUCCCUCUAUCCCGUCAAGGGCCUUAGCUUAUUGAAAUGGCGGCAUUUUUCUCUUAACAGUUUGUGUACCGCCUGUUGCCUCACGGAAUCCGUGCAGUGUCCCUUGUUUUAAAUGCAUAUAUGUUCCAGGAUUUGGAAAGGUAGAGCAGGCCAUUAUUCUCAUCAUGCUUUACUGUUUAAUGACCUUUUCCUCACCACCAUUUUGAAUAAAAGGCUCUUUCUUUUAUUUUUCUUUCUUAUGUUUCCACGAGUUAGUCAACUCAUGUUUUCUUUAACCAAUCAGCUGAAAGGCUGUGGAGCAAGAAUUAACAACAACAACAACAACAAUUUGUACAGCUUUGUAGUCACGUUAAGUAAUCAGCUGGCUUUAUGAAACAGGGUCUCCUUCUGCAGUCCAGGCUGGCCUGGAACUGGCGUUCCUCAGCCUCAGGGCUAAGGGCAGAGUGUGCAGGUGCUCCCUGGCAACUCUGGUUUUUCUCGUUAUGUUGAGUAGGACUUUUCCUCAGAAGUGCUCUGAAGUCUGUGUGUGCGUGUGUGCGUGUGUGCGUGCGUGUGUGCGUGCGUGUGUGUGUGUGUGUGUGUGUAUGUGCUUGUGUGUGUGUGUCUGGGCGUGUGUGUGUCUGGGCGUGUGUGUGUAUAUAUGUACUUGUGUGUGUGUGUGUGUGCGCGUGUGCGUGUGUAUGUGCUUGUCUGUGUGUAUAUGUGCUUGUGUGUGUGUAUGGGCGUGCGUGUGUGCAUGUGUGUGUAUAUAUGUGCUUGUGUGUGUGUGUAUGGGCGUGUGUGUGUGUGUGCUUGUCUGUGUGUGUGUGUGUGUGCGCGUGUGCGUGCGUGUGUGCAUGUGUGUGUAUAUAUGUACUUGUGUGUGUGUCUGGGCGUGCGUGCGUGUGCGUGUGUGUGCGUGUGUGUGAAUAUAUAAUUAGUCACAAAUAGAAACUGACGUAGAGUGUAGUUCCAUCACAGUUAGGCUUUAUCUUUGUCUACUAGAGACAACGACUGGACCCAGUACUCCAAAUGACAUGUACAUAAGGCAGCUGCCACCCUUAGAGCAUUGGUUCUAUUCCUGACAUUUUUGACCAUUAUAAGAAAAACCCAGAGUCCUGGAGGAGAUGUAUAGUGCCCGUAAGUACCACUUGCCUGCAGUCAGGCUCCCAAGAAAAACAAGCAGGAAAAGCUAAGGUUUGCGUUUAUGCCAACACUCUCAAGCUGUCUGUGCCAGACACACCUGCUCACUGGGGUCAACAUUUCUCAGUUUUAUUUUUAAGAUAGUUCUCACUGUGUAGCCCAGGCUGGUCCUCAGCCCCCUCACUAUGAGGUUAUCCUUUUAAAACACUUCUGGUCAUAGUGCACCUCCAUAUAUUGCUAAAGUGAGUGUGCCAUUCCUUCAUAAAACACAGCGAGAACCCUUGGAGGCGCUCUUGAAUGCCAUAGGCUCUUGUUUCUCCACCAGGGCAGCUCCUUUUGGGGCACAUUCCUGUCCUCACUCGAUCCCGAUUGACUCAUCUGUCCACAAGUGGGAGGCAGUGUCUCUGAGUAUCAUCUCCAAAGGGAUCUGUCCUUAGGGCCUCUGUCUUAACAUCACGUGACCAUAUCACGUUAGCAGUGUUAAUAAAGCCUGUGGUAGUAGAACGUCGGGAACAGAGCCAGGAUUUCAAGGUGUACAUCCAGUGUAAUUUCAUCCGUUGUGGCUCAGAGCCAGACAAAUUAGGUUCAUGUCCCACUCUAACUUUCCCUCACCUUACUUUUCUGAGCUUAAGUUGGAGAUUUGGGGCUAGCACACGCCCUCCAGUUGUGAGGAUCAAACGGGUGAGUAAAAUGUUCUCUGAGUGUUGCAAGUGCCUGGCAUGUAGGCAGUACCAGCGGGCGUUAGAUUUUUAAACACCUGCCUAAAAUUUCUAUCACCUGUGUCUGUCUAUAGGCACCUCAGUGUUUGUAGCACCAGCUAGCAAUCCUGCCCACUCCUCUGACAGUUUUCUGCCCUGCCAGUGUGCCAGGUUGAGCCCUAUCCCUUAAAUAUCCCUUUACCUCAAAAACAGCAUCCAGUGGGGACAGACUUAUGGCGAAUGUUACCAACUCAACUUUGUUAAAUACCCCUUCUGUGGUUGCUUUAAAAUUUCUAAAUUUAAGCAGCUGUUAAAAUUUCUAAAUUUCUAUCACCUGUGGUUUUCUAUCUUUUUGCUUGUGGCUGACUCAACAUUUCUUUUACCAGUUUAGCUUUUUGUUUGUUGAGAUGGUGUCCACCUGUGUUGCCCAGGCUUCUUUAAAUUCAAGAUCCUCUUGCCUCAGCCUUUGAAGCACUCAGAUCCUAGACUGUGCCUCCAUAACCCAGCAGCUUAGCUCAGUCUGGGUUGCUUGUGGAGAAGUCUGUAAGGUCAUGAGCCCUUUUUAGAACAUUCUUGGUUCUUUUUUUUUUUUUUUUUUUUUUUUUCCGGAGCUGGGGACCGAACCCAGGGCCUUGCCCUUCUAAGGCAAGCGCUCUACCACUGAGCUAAAUCCCCAACCCCUUAGAACAUUCUUACGAAUACUGGUCCUUAGCUAUGGACACAUUUUUUAGAUGCUUUACUCACAAUUGGAAACUCACAGGUUUUUGGAAGCAGCCACAGUAGGGGUAUUUAACAAAGUGGCCACUAGUGGCCCAGCAAGAGGGCCACUAGUUUAACUUACCUGGGCUGUGCCUAUAGACAGACAUUCUGCUCUCUUUUUCCUUACUCCCCUGUACUUUUUGCUUUGUAACGACAUUUUAGAACUUGAAAAUGAACUUAUCAGUGAAGAGACUCGGAUUCUGAUAGGUUUAUCUUUCAUGGUUGUAAACACCCAACAGAUCUUGGAUUCAGACUUAACAGUUUUAUGAUUCUAAAGGUCACAUCAGGCCCGGGGGGAUGACUCAGUUGUUAAAAGUGCUUGCUGUGCAAUAUGAGGAAGUGAGUUCAUAUCCUUAGAACUCAACAUUAUUUGCUUAUUAGUUUUAAGAGGUCCAGGGGCUGGAGAGAUGGCUCAGUGGUUAAGAGCACUAAUUGCUCUUCCAGAGGUCCUGAGUUCAAUUCCCAGCAACAACGUGGUGGCUUGCAGCCAUCUGUAAUGAGAUCCGAUGGCCUCUUCUGGCGUGCAGGUGUUCAUGCAGAACACUCCCAUAAAAUAUAAAUAAAUAAGAUUAAAAUAAAAAGAGGUUCCUACACAUUAUUAUUUUAAAGAGUAUUUACAAUUACACACAAAAAUCUUAUUUCGUGGUUUUAGUUUUGCCUCAUGUAUUUGAAGAACCUGAAAGGAAACAGUAGAAUAGUUUAAAUAGGCUGACAAGCUGUGAGCUAACAAACUGGUUCUGACAGUGAAAUCUGACUUUAAAAAAUUUGCAUUGUUCAUUGUGUAAUCAACCAGAGUGCUCCCUUAAAAUGCAGACAGAACUAAGCAUUGUAUUUAUGUUUAAAAUACUCCAAAAAAAGGGAAAUCUGCCUAAGGAUAGCUGAUGUUUUAAAUAUUAGUUUUAGGGGCUGGUGACAUGGCUCAGAGGUUAAGAGCGCUGGCUGCUCUUCCAGGGGUCCUGAGUUCAAUUCCCAGCAACCACAUGGUGGCUCACAACCAUCUGUAAUGGGAUUUGAUGCCCCCUUCAGGCAGGUGGAUGUCUAAGCAGCAGAGCACAUACACAUUAAAUAAAUGAAGUUAAAAUUAAAAAAAAAAUUAGUUUUAAUUAUGUAGAGAGACCUGGUAAUUUCACUUAGCCAAAUGUAUGCUUUUAUACAUAGAUCUGUACAAUAUUUCUAAUCUUGCAAAUUAGAAAUACUUGAAGUAUGUAUUAAUAUACCCCAUUUCCUGAUAGAAAUGGCUUAUAUCAGUAUAUCAGUUGAUAUACUCUAAAAGGUUCUCAAGAUGUGUAUGAAACCUAAGAGCAUCAAAGUUCUAGCCCGGUAGAGUGGUUCACACCUCGGGUCCCAGCUACUAGAGUGGCCACUAGUUUAACUUACCUGGGCUGCAGAGUGAGUUCAAGACCUACCUGUCUAAUGGAGACUGUUUUUACCUUAAGAGGAGAGGGGCGGGAUAGAGGUGCAGGUUGGUUCAAUACUCCUCCAGCAUCCCUAAAACUCUAGAUCCCUUCACCAGCACUGUCAAAAUUCUAUGUGAAAGGGCUGUUGAAAUUAUAUUCUACCGCAGGCCAAUUUCCAUCUUGUAUCUUUCUCCUUGCAGCAGCUGGCAGCUUGAUUGAUGUGUGGGGCUCAGUAGGUCACACAUGUGGGAAGGAAGAAGCUGAAUGGGGCCGCUGGCACCAAGCAGGCUUUCGUUCCUGUAGCAUCAACACACAUGGCCACACCCUGAAUCAGGCCACAGCUUUUAAACAACCCCAGGAAGCUCAUUAUAGUCUCAUGAAUCUCAGAGGAUAUCAUGAGUCUCGAAAUGAGUAUUUUUGCUGCCCUUGAAUUUGGCAGUCACCUUGUGGCUUCUUUGGGUAUGAUCCCCUUAUCCUUGAUCUAGUUCUCAGCGGAUUCCUGGUUAUUUUCUAUGCCACUAUGAUGUUGGAUGCUGUAACUGCAUAUUUCAUCAUGUUGACUAAUGAUUUAAUAAGAGAACGAGGGAAUAUUAAAAAAAAGAUAGGGAACUUAUGGGAGAUGUGUAAAGUGCAGAUAACAGUUGAUUCCAGCCUCCUCCGCCCCAUUUCUAUUGUUUAUACAGUUUGCUAAGUAUUUAAUGGCACUUGAGACAAGUAGAAUAUAUUGAAAGAAGUGGAAUUUAUAGCGUUCUGCUGUGCUGUGUUCUCUGUACAGAAGGCGACAAACAAAAGUAUCUUGGGCAGCUCUCUUCCUCUUUAAAUAACAAAGAGAAACCGUGGCUUUUAAAAAUCCUGGUUUGAAUUUCAUGUGUAAUUGCUGCAUUGGUCUGUGUGGGUAAAGACUCAGGUUUUCUCCAUUACCUUCUUAAAGACACAUGCUGGCAGCCUGGCUUCUCUUGUGGUCCUCAUCUCUGGUCGGCCAGGGCUCGGGUGCUGGGAGAAUCGGGCGAGCAUAUGGCCACUUCCCUAGCCAGUGUGUCCCGGAGCAGUCGGAGCAGUCGCUGGAGCUGGAGGGCCAGGAGGAGGAGCCUUUUCGUGAGGGAGCGAGCGAGCUCCCUUCCCUUUCUCUCGGCUGUGCUGUGCUGAGCUCCUGGCUGCAGGCGGCGGCCAAGCAGACCGCGGUGUAGCCGCAGCCUCCCGGUGGGGUGCCCGCCAGGAACGCAGGGACCAUGGGCCAGCUUUGCUGCUUCCCCUUCGCCAGAGAAGAGGGCAAAAUCUGAGCACGUCCAGGAGGAGAUUCCCAUCGCCCCUGCUCAUCUGCCUGCUCUCCUGCAGGGCUCCAGGUAUCGGAGAGCGCAAAUGAAGAGCAAGCAGUUCCCAUCCUUAAGGGCUCUGCCUCCUGACAGAGCCAGCGUACUUAAAAAUUCUUACAUUAAGAAGAUUAAGAUUACGAACACCAGAAGGAAGCCCCGUUUCACCAGGAACAGUAUGAAAGGAAUACUUAUGGUUUUCCAAUGAGUUAUGUUGAGGGCUGGACAGAUGAUGACUCAGCAAAUAAAGGCAUUUGCUACUGGGCCAGGUGACCUGAGGCUAAUCCCCGGGAAAGAGGGGACCAACUUCCUCAAAUUGUCCUCUGAUGGCCACUAGUGCACCAUGAGAAAUUCGGUCUUGUAAAGUGCUGCGCCAGCUCCAGUGGAGCCUGUCUGACAGGAAACAAUCGUGGCCAACAGGCCAGAGAUACGUGUUCCUCGGAACUUAAGCCUCCUGGAGACACUUGGCCACUUCCUCCUCCACUUUCUGCCUAGCUGACUGGAAUAGACUUUCUGCCUAGCUGAUAUUGGAAUAGGUGAUAUGACAUGAUGAUGAUGUAACAGUUAGAGACACUUAUAAAUUAUGUGUAUGGAUGUUUAGCCUGCCUGGACUGAUACGCCCUAUGCCUGGUGCUCACGGAGGCCAGUAGAGGGCGCUGGAUUCCCUGGAACAGAAGUUGCGAGCUGCUGUGUGUGGAUAUUGAAAACCAAACCUGAGUCCUCUGGGAGAGUCGCAAGUACUUUUAACUUCAGAACCAUCUCUCCAGUCCCUAGAGACGCUUCUGGAAAGACCUCUACGUCCAUGUUACACAGGAAUAACGAAUAAAAGGCAGAGGAGAGAUAAGCCUGAAGGAAUCUGUUGCCUUGCAGACUGGACACUCCUCCGCUCAUAAUGACAGUACUCAUCAUCGGUGCCCCGAAGAUUCUAGAUUCAUUUUCUGCUUCAGCCAUUGCAGGUUGCACUGACACCUCAACCAGCGGAUCUGGACUUUACGUACAUCUGAUCUAGGUUUUAUGGUCCAGGCUAUGAAAUGUUCCUUAUAAGACCCUGCACUUCCCCUUUGGGCCCUGAGCUGCUGGUGCUGCUUUGGAAGGUUGAAGAACUGGUAGGAGGUGGAGCCUAACUAAAGAAAGCGGAUGUUUAGCCUGCAUGGACUGAUACGCCCUAUGCCUGGUGCUCGUGGAGGCCAGAAGGGGGCGCUGGAUCCCCUGGAACUGAGGUUGAGAGCUGCUGUGUGGCUAUUGAAAAUCAAACCUGGGUCCUCUGGGAGAGUCACAAGUACUUUUAACUUCAGAACGAUCUCUCCAGCCCCUAGAGACGCUUCUGGAGAGACCUCUACGUCCAUGUUUAGGUGUCAUUCUGUGGCCCAGCCUCUCUUCUUGUCUACUUUCGGCCUCCUGAAGAGG